CAUUAUACACCACACUACAGGCUACCGUGCUAAUGUUUCUAUUAUGUUCGCCAUUUGGCAGACCACGCCCUGCCGCCGACGAGUUUGUCUUUAUCUGGACAGCCCGUGUUACCAAACCCUCGUACUGGCUGGACCUGAUCUAGUGAAACAUCUGAGGCACCGGAGUAAUACUAGAGCUCGGCUUAACCCUUCAACUCUUGUGUACUGAACCGGAAAAGCAACUUCUUAACUCAAAGGACCUUAGUUAGGGCUCCCGUCCUUAGCAAAAGAGGGUACAUAAGUAAAAAUCAAAAAUGCUUAACCAAGUGUUGAAACGUGACCCUGCCUUUCUAGGGUUUGAAGACAGGGUUGCUUCAAGACUCGUUCUUGAUCUUUGAUUGCUCGGCAAUGCCUCUUUUUUGCUUAAGUCGAGAACCCUAACUGAGGUACUUCAAGCUAAACAGCUGAUUCGCAAGAGAAGCAUACUGACGAAAAUGUCGACCUAGGAGCUCCCGAGUUAAGAGAACUCCAAGACAUCGCCAUCCAGUUAACCAGCCAUGGUGAUUCAUACUUAUUUUUCCUCGUCUUGCAGACCGGAAAUAUAAAUCAUCUGUUGGACCCAAUUCCACCUCAUCCUCAACCCCAUCCUAACACACCAGGCCUUACCCGAGAUCAGCAAAGAACCCAAGAUUCGCACAGAACCUGCCCUAUUUUAAUCCAUCGGCAAAGUAGCUACUGACACCACCACCUUCCUGAUCAUAAGCCGACUCGACCUGCACCCAUCGAUAACAAACUUGCACAAAUCCGCAAUACCAUCCAAUAUCUCAGAGAUACCAAGAGCCCUGACGACCAAAUAUCGGCUAAGCACUGCAUCGAAUCAACGAAAUACGCCUGCUAACACAAACCCCAAAUUGCCCAAAACGAUCUGCUGUGCGUAUUGGAAAGAACGCGACAGCACCCUGCACUAUGUGGAUGCCCCAGUUUGGCAAAUGAAGGGCAACAGCCAAAAGCUUGCCCAUCCGAACGCCACCCUAACCCAGCUGGUCAAGCAGGACGUGUGGUUCCAUCAACAAGUCGACAAGCAACAGCCUGAACUUAGAAGCGUCCUCCAAAAAGAGGCUCUGAUCUCUUUAGCCCAAUAUGCAAUCACACAAGCCACUCAUAACAUCUACUCUGUUCUAGAUACUUGGACCCAAGCCCUACAUGGUCAAGCCACAGUGGAGCUUUUUCACCCCGAUAUGGUCCAAGACGCCCUCAAACGCUUAUCCAGUCAAGCCAGCGGACCUCUCAGGCUCACGUUUGAACCUACGGACUUGAAAACAUUUUUGGUCAAAAGCUGUACUUGCGUCCAGUGGCACUAUCAUGACCUUCUUCUUCUCUGAGAGUGCUUGCUUCACCCACUCAUUCACCUCCAUUAGAGCAAUGCUUGUUCUCCUUCCGGGUUGGAAGCCAUGGUGCCUAUCUGGAAUAAUGCCUCUCUUUUCAAUAUUGUCCUGGAGUUGUUUGCAUGCACCUGUCUCAACAAGCUUCCUAAGGCAGCUCGUUAGUCCAACGGGGCGAUAUAAGACAUGGAUCGCCUUACUUCCUUUUUUUCUUCCACACAGGUACUGUCCGGCGAGCAGUCUCCCAUCUUCCUUUAAGAUUUGAGCUUAGCUUCAACAAAAGAAUAAUCCAUACUGGAGGGAACAUUCUUCUCUCUUGUUCAAAGGCCAAAUGAGCAAUGGCGAGGACGGGUCAACCACUGGACCAACAUCAUUUUGGACAGAGGAGACCAUGGGACAAGGGAAGUCAGGACCAACUAUCCCAGGGGCUUUGCAAGCUUGGAGACUCAAAUAUGAAUCGUCCAAAUCUUCGCUCACCACCUCAGUGAUGUCACGGGGCUGAUGAUUCUCAUUCACUGAAAGAUCGGUCUUUGAAGUUCCAAAAAUGUUAUGCAGACGACCG